UACGGGGGGGGCAAGCGUUGUUCGGAAUUACUGGGCGUAAAGGGCGCGUAGGCGGUUUGCUAAGUUGGAUGUGAAAACUCUGGGCUUAACCCAGAGCCUGCAUCCAAAACUGGCAAACUUGAGUACUGGAGGGGAAAGCGGAAUUCCUGGUGUAGCGGUGAAAUGCGUAGAUAUCAAGAGGAACACCUGCGGCGAAGGCGGGUUGCUGGGCUGACACUGACGCUGAGGCGCGAAAGCUAGGGGAGCGAACGGG
rnacentral:rRNA from 1 species